CUUGCGCAAGGUCAUACUGGUUACGAGGAGUAGGGGGUGCCCAGGCCCGUGCUGUCCACGCCUAGCUCUCCAGCCUGUCUGCCCACUGAAGCUGGCCCAGGGCGUCCUGGCAGGAAUAGUGAGAAAGGAGGUGAUCUACCCACCUCUGGCGUUUGUCUGGUUUUGUUUUUGUGCAGGUCCACCUGUAGCAAGGCGUCUUGAUUGAGUCAGGACCUUGAUGCUCCUACAUCAUCACCAUGGGCUGGAGCGGCUCCAAGGAAGUUUGUUCAUGAAUCUGAACAAUCUCACUCUGCAGGGAAGAGGAGGCUGAGGCUGGGAGGACUUUGCUGGGGAAAUUCAGUGUAUUAACUGGAGUUUUACAAGGCCCCUGGUCCAGGGAGAAGGUGUUUUCGUGUCAAGUCCUGAGUGAUGGAAAGAUUUCUCGUCACAGCUGUGAGAACGUAACCAGUAGAGAGCCACCAAGGAUACGAACGGGGCUGCAGAGUAGAUUGCUAUCAGCUCGGGGUCAGAGCCCCACGUGCACCUUCCCCGGGCCACGUGGUGCUGGGGAGGAGGGCGUCUCCCCGAGCAGGUGCUUCCCUUCAGUCACUGCCCACCCCCCACAUGGAGAGGAGGGGAGGCUUAUCCGGCAGGUAAAUUUGGGAAGAACUGAGCUGUGCCCUGCUCCUUGUACCCUUCCUUGUUGGGGGGGCAGAGGAGGGGGCUGUUCUCUGCUCCUGGAUUGGAAUUGGAAGAUUCACUUUACUCUGGGGUCAGUGUUGGGAAGCCCAGGGGCCCACAGAUAGUGAGACUGACCAGCAAUAAAGGUGGCGUUUUGGCUCCCAUCUGCGCCACAGACUGGAUGUGUGUCCUUCCCCUGCUUACAUGCACAUGUUGAAACCUAACCCCCGAUGAGACGGUAUUAGGAGAUGGGGCCUUUGAGAGGUGCUUAGGUCAUAAGGUGGAGCCUGCACGAGUGGACACAGUGCUAGGACUGCUAGGACACAGACGUCAGCAGCUGCGAAGAGGCCUGGCCUGGCCGUGCUGCACCCUCAUCUCUGCCUUUCAGCCUCCAGAAUGGUGAGAAAAACACUUCCUUUGCUUAUCAGUCACCCAGUCUAGGGUUUUUGUUACAGCAGCCCAGAUGGACUAAGACCACCUGCUCAAUCGUUUGUUUCUCAGAUGAAUAAGAACUCUCUGCCAGGGAAGAGACCUUCCCCAAAACCCCUCACGGGGGACGCUGGUUUUAGUGAUGUCUGCUUUCUAAGUGAGAGCCAUGAUUCAGGAUUGGAGAUGGUGUUUCUUCUCAGUUCUUUGUCCCACAUUUACUUGCUUGGAAUCUGCUCUGUGCCUGGCACUGCACCGGGCACCCUUUAGAUAAGGAUGAGCCCUGAAAAGUGGGAGCAGACGGCUUAAUGGAGCCUCGUUGUGACUCACCCCAGUGGGAAGGUUGAGGCACCUGCCUUGGGGGAAUCCACAGCCAAGAUAAAGCAUCACCCACCAGGCGUGGGGAUGGUCGAGCGUCACCAGAAUGAUGCAGGGUGGAAGGCACACGCCACAGCUCCCUCACUCUAGAAGGAUGUUUUUGAGAAGUCUACCUGCUCCCCAGAGGCAUGGGGCAGCCUAGUUCUCUCUUCCCCUCUUUUCUUUCUUCGCUCUCAAUUCCCCAUCUGUGAGUCACUCGGUAUCAGUCCACUAAACUCUUCUCAGCCCAUGUCAGCAGGAACCAGCUGGCUUUGUGGGGGAAAAUACCAACCCAGCUGUCUGCACAAGGAUGGUAAGAAUUAGAACCUUGGGUCCCAUACCUCCAGCUCACAUCUGGAGAAACUGAAGGGGAGACUUUGAAAUUUGGGGUCAAGGAAGCCUUGUAGCUUUUUGAUUAACAGCACGAGUUCUUGAGUCACCUGGCCUGGAAGAAAAAGCCCACCUCGGCCGUUUAGUUACUGAUUGAUUUCGACCCAUCACUUCACUCACCAAGCUUCAGCUCCUCCUCUCUGACUAUAGGACAAGAUCAGUACCACGCUCCUAAGGCCAGCGAUGCUGCAAAAUGCAUAAUAACCUUUGGUUGUUAUUUUAGUGAUGAUUCUUCUAGAUUUCUCCUGAGAAGUCAUGCAAAACAGGAAUGUGAAUUGCAAAAAAGAUGCUGAGCAGGAAGGCACCAAAGAAAGCCUUUCUCCAAAGGGGAUGUUUAUUUCAGAGGCACACAGGGGGAAGCUCCACCAGCUGUUUUCCAGGAAAUCAUCCACUUCACCCAGGGUGAGUUCUAAAUUUUAAUGACCAGCUAGUGUGGAAGGAUUGGAAAAAGAAGAAAACAAACAAGGAUGAUGUAAAGAUCCAAUCACACACUGCAUAAACUCUGAGGUUUCUGAUAUUUAGUCUCAAGUUUGAAGGUAGCUGCCACCUCCAUUAGGAAAAGAAUCACAACCAACACCAAUACGGGCAGCUAAAAGGUGAGCUUAACGGUAUACAUCAGAGACCCAAUACCAAGGCUCACUAGGGUCUUGGGAACAGUAAAAUGUGAAAUAAUCCACAGCUGUUGGAUUUGAUGUUUGGGGGGGAGGGCUUUGCUUUGGAAGUUUCUUCUGCCACAAAUGUUCUCCCCAGCCAGUCUCUUCCCCGUACACCCAAACUUUCUCAGCUCAAAUAUGACCUCCGAGAAGCCUUCCCAGUCCUCACUAAUGGAGCUCUGCUCUCAGUGUUUUUUUAUCCCAGCAGUACCAUGUCUGUAAUGAGAUGUUUGUUGUGAUUGUUGGAUCGGUUGCUCCUUUAAGUUGGCUGCAUGUUCCAGGUGACCAGUGACCCUGUCUGUUGUAUAUACAACUAUAGAUGUGGUUAGAUUGGUCUCAGACCCACAACAGAAACUCUGUUAUAUCUUUGCUGGUUUAAUGACUUUAGCAAAGUUCUAUUAAUUAUUUCUCCACUCACUCCAUGAGGCCUUAACUCUUUAGCAUGUAUUUUUCAAUGAUGAAUAGCAUCAUUAGUUCAUUCAGUUGAUUACGAAUUAAUAACCCCUGUGCUUACUAUCGGCCAAGCGCCUCUGGG
rnacentral:lncRNA from 1 species